rnacentral:rRNA from 1 species
AUUGAACGCUGGCGGCAGGCCUAACACAUGCAAGUCGAACGGUAGCACAGAGAGCUUGCUCUCGGGUGACGAGUGGCGGACGGGUGAGUAAGGCAUGGGGAGCUGCCCAAUCGAGGGGGAUAACAACUGGAAACGGUUGCUAAUACCGCAUAUGCCCUGCGGGGGAGAGGUGGGGACCAUUUGGCCUACCGCGAUUGGAUGCACCCAUGUGGGAUUAGCUGGUUGGUGAGGUAACGGCUCACCAAGGCGACGAUCUCUAGCUGGUCUGAGAGGAUGACCAGCCACACUGGAACUGAGACACGGUCCAGACUCCUACGGGAGGCAGCAGUGGGGAAUAUUGCACAAUGGGGGAAACCCUGAUGCAGCCAUGCCGCGUGUGUGAAGAAGGCCUUCGGGUUGUAAAGCACUUUCAGUCAGGAGGAAGGGGAGCAGACUAAUAUUCUGUUUCAUUGACGUUACUGACAGAAGAAGCACCGGCUAACUCCGUGCCAGCAGCCGCAGUAAUAC